AGUAACAUUUAGGAAUCUGCCUAGUAGUGGGGGAUAGCUCGGGGAAACUCGAAUUAAUACCGCAUACGACCUACGGGUGAAAGGGGGCGCAAGCUCUUGCUAUUAGAUGAGCCUAAAUCAGAUUAGCUAGUUGGUGGGGUAAAGGCCCACCAAGGCGACGAUCUGUAACUGGUCUGAGAGGAUGAUCAGUCACACCGGAACUGAGACACGGUCCGGACUCCUACGGGAGGCAGCAGUGGGGAAUAUUGGACAAUGGGGGCAACCCUGAUCCAGCCAUGCCGCGUGUGUGAAGAAGGCCUUUUGGUUGUAAAGCACUUUAAGCAGGGAGGAGAGGCUAAUGGUUAAUACCCAUUAGAUUAGACGUUACCUGCAGAAUAAGCACCGGCUAACUCUGUGCCAGCAGCCGCGGUAAUACAGAGGGUGCGAGCGUUAAUCGGAAUUACUGGGCGUAAAGCGAGUGUAGGUGGCUCAUUAAGUCACAUGUGAAAUCCCCGGGCUUAACCUGGGAACUGCAUGUGAUACUGGUGGUGCUAGAAUAUGUGAGAGGGAAGUAGAAUUCCAGGUGUAGCGGUGAAAUGCGUAGAGAUCUGGAGGAAUACCGAUGGCGAAGGCAGCUUCCUGGCAUAAUAUUGACACUGAGAUUCGAAAGCGUGGGUAGCAAACAGGAUUAGAUACCCUGGUAGUCCACGCCGUAAACGAUGUCUACUAGCCGUUGGGGUCCUUGAGACUUUAGUGGCGCAGUUAACGCGAUAAGUAGACCGCCUGGGGAGUACGGCCGCAAGGUUAAAACUCAAAUGAAUUGACGGGGGCCCGCACAAGCGGUGGAGCAUGUGGUUUAAUUCGAUGCAACGCGAAGAACCUUACCUGGUCUUGACAUAGUGAGAAUCCUGCAGAGAUGCGGGAGUGCCUUCGGGAAUUCACAUACAGGUGCUGCAUGGCUGUCGUCAGCUCGUGUCGUGAGAUGUUGGGUUAAGUCCCGCAACGAGCGCAACCCUUUUCCUUAUUUGCCAGCGGGUUAAGCCGGGAACUUUAAGGAUACUGCCAGUGACAAACUGGAGGAAGGCGGGGACGACGUCAAGUCAUCAUGGCCCUUACGACCAGGGCUACACACGUGCUACAAUGGUAGGUACAGAGGGUUGCUACACAGCGAUGUGAUGCUAAUCUCAAAAAGCCUAUCGUAGUCCGGAUUGGAGUCUGCAACUCGACUCCAUGAAGUCGGAAUCGCUAGUAAUCGCGGAUCAGAAUGCCGC
rnacentral:rRNA from 1 species